UUUAACCACUGCUCUCCACAAUGGUCAGCCCUGGAGGAAGAAACAGUCUGAAUGAUCAAGGACAUUUCAUACAUCAGUUAAAGGACUGUCAACAUUUCAAAUGUCAUAUUAAGGCAUCAUUUUGAAGUUAUCAGAGAAUACAAUAAGCUAAACAGUGUUUCUCUUAGCAGAAAAGGAUGUUUAAUGUUAUUAUUAAAAAGUCUAAAUUAAGUGAAGUUGGGUCAAAAGGGCCAUUGGCCUCCAUUGUUACGUUCUUAUUGAGGGUUCUAGCUAAUUUGAAUCUGAAUUAUUGUAUCUUAUAGGUUGAGGAACAGGUGUUCUCAAGUGUGUUACACAUUUUAUCACAUUUUAUCAAACGUUGUUUUUCCCUAAACUACACAGGUUUAAACCUUCUGGUGGUGCUAGAAUUAAAGUCAAAAGAUAUCUAUGGAUGAAUCUAAUAAUCAUUCAUGUCUGAGCUUAAAUUUAUCAAAAUAUUUAGGAAUUGAUAGAGAGUGAGG